AAGUCGUAACAAGGUUUCCGUAGGUGAACCUGCGGAAGGAUCAUUAACACGUCUUUAUAUCCAAUAUAUAAACUAAACGCGAACUAAAACCCCCGCCCUAUCAUAUACACGGUCAAGGUUAAUUUUAAUUAACUCUGACUGAUGGUAGGCAAUUUUAUCAACAAUCAUUUUAAACUCUUAUAACCUAGUUGAUCUAACUACUAAGACAUUCUAGUAUUCAUUCAUUCUAUGAAUACUGCUUGUUGUUAUAUUACGAAAUGUAAGAACAACUCUUAGCAAUGGAUAUCUUGGUUCUC
rnacentral:misc_RNA from 1 species